AAUCUCUUCUUUUGAUUUGCCUCUCUUUCUCCUUUCAUUUGUCAUCAUCAUACACAAUGGGGUUGUCUUUUGGCAAGCUUUUCUCUCGUCUUUUUAGUAAGAAAGAGAUGAGAAUUCUCAUGGUUGGUCUUGAUGCCGCUGGUAAAACCACAAUACUGUAUAAACUCAAGUUGGGGGAGAUUGUCACCACCAUUCCUACUAUUGGAUUUAACGUGGAGACUGUGGAGUAUAAGAACAUUAGCUUCACUGUGUGGGAUGUUGGUGGUCAGGAUAAGAUUCGACCUUUGUGGAGACACUACUUCCAAAACACACAAGGGCUUAUCUUUGUGGUAGACAGCAAUGAUAGAGAUCGUGCUGUUGAGGCUAGAGAUGAGUUACACAGGAUGCUGAAUGAGGAUGAAUUAAGGGAUGCUGUGUUGCUUGUUUUUGCAAACAAACAAGAUCUUCCCAAUGCAAUGAAUGCUGCUGAAAUCACUGAUAAGCUUGGUCUUCACUCUCUACGACAGCGCCACUGGUAAAUCAAGUCCAGAAAUUAACAAGUAUAUCCAAAGUACAUGUGCUACUUCUGGUGAAGGUUUAUACGAGGGACUAGACUGGCUUUCGAAUAACAUUUCAAACAAGGCUUAAUAGAGAUAUCAUUGGGUGCUGAUACUUUUCCCAAAUGUGACGGCAACUGACUUUAGGAUUGUUGGCAUCAUUGCUGUUGUAGUUUUAUUAUUAUUAUAGUAAUUAUUAUUUUGUCCUCUGUAAUCUAGUUUUAAUUCAAAUAAAUAUUAUUCAUGUAUGAUGUUGGGCUUCUAGAGUUAUUCCCAAUGUUUUUUAUUUUAAUUUUUAAUGACAUUUACUCUACA